UUUGAUAAUUAAAGUAAAGUUUCUGACAUGGAGGUUUUCAAGUUGUAAUAUAUAUUUAUGUUUUAGGUAGAUUCCCAAACUUUGAAAAAACGUUGUAGUAAUGAGGUAAUUGAACGUUGUAUGGUAGAGCAUUGGGCUUACCAGGGCCAAGGUAUCUUCUUCGAUAACAAAUUCUGCACAUUUCAGAUGUUGAGGUGCGAGAGACCAAGAUGAUGGGAAGCACUCCCAUUAUCAUUGUAGUUUUCCAAACGCAACAGGUCUAUUGCAUACGUGAUGCAAAUGGAUCAAUUAGAGAAGGCGGU